rnacentral:rRNA from 1 species
GGUGGAUGCCUAGGCAGUCAGAGGCGAUGAAGGGCGUGCUAAUCUGCGAUAAGCGACGGCAAGGUGAUAUGAACCGCAACACCCGUCGAUACCCGAAUGGGGAAACCCAGUGCAAUCCGUUGCACUAUCAUUCACUGAAUUCAUAGGUGAAUGAGGCGAACCGGGGGAACUGAAACAUCUCAGUACCCCGAGGAAAAGAAAUCAACCGAGAUUCCCCCAGUAGCGGCGAGCGAACGGGGAGGAGCCCAGAACCCGCAUCGGCUUGUGUGUCAGUGGAAGCGCCUGGAAAGGCGCGCAGUAAAGGGUGACAGCCCCGUACACGAAGACGCAUAAGCCGGGAGUUCGAUGAGUAGGGCGGGACACGUGGUAUCCUGUCUGAACAUGGGGGGACCAUCCUCCAAGGCUAAAUACUCCUGACUGACCGAUAGUGAACCAGUACCGUGAGGGAAAGGCGAAAAGAACCCCGGCGAGGGGAGUGAAAGAGAACCUGAAACCGUGUACGUACAAGCAGUGGGAGCCUUGAUUUAUCAGGGUGACUGCGUACCUUUUGUAUAAUGGGUCAGCGACUUAUAUUCUGUAGCAAGGUUAACCGUCUAGGGGAGCCGCAGGGAAACCGAGUCUUAACGGGGCGUUAAGUUGCAGGG